AGGGGUUGGUCUUUAAUGCAGUGGCGCCAUUAUGUUGAUUUAGUUUAUAUGCCACAUGGUUUUUAUUACAGUGGCAGUAUCAGAUGGAUCUCGGGGUGCAGGAAAGAAGGGGGUGGUCUUUAAUGCAAAAUGGGGUUAUUACGACUUUGAAAUUCUUAUUACAAGCGGCCUAACUCAGAAUUGCUUGAGUUGAGUUGGGAUCGGAAGGUGGACGAUUCUAGUUUGAAGAACUCCGGAAUUGCCUUGAUGCUCUAGUUUUUUAUGUGAAUAAAUUGUAGCCCUAUUGGACUUGGGAAUUGCCCGACUCUGGCCACGUGAAUCAGAAAUGAGCCAGUCGCGAUUCAAGGCAUGAUUCAAGGUUUUCAACCACAAACUUUGUUGUUCAAACCCAAAAUGACAUCGAUCCCCAGUUUCUAAUAACAUUGGGCAAGAAUUUAUUUUA
rnacentral:lncRNA from 1 species